GACGAACGCGGGCGGCGUGCCUAAUACAUGCAAGUCGAGCGAGCUGCCUAGAUGAAUUUGGUGCUUGCACCAAAUGAAACUAGAUACAAGCGAGCGGCGGACGGGUGAGUAACACGUGGGUAACCUGCCCAAGAGACUGGGAUAACACCUGGAAACAGAUGCUAAUACCGGAUAACAACACUAGACGCAUGUCUAGAGUUUAAAAGAUGGUUCUGCUAUCACUCUUGGAUGGACCUGCGGUGCAUUAGCUAGUUGGUAAGGUAACGGCUUACCAAGGCAAUGAUGCAUAGCCGAGUUGAGAGACUGACCGGCCACAUUGGGACUGAGACACGGCCCAAACUCCUACGGGAGGCAGCAGUAGGGAAUCUUCCACAAUGGACGCAAGUCUGAUGGAGCAACGCCGCGUGAGUGAAGAAGGGUUUCGGCUCGUAAAGCUCUGUUGGUAGUGAAGAAAGAUAGAGGUAGUAACUGGCCUUUAUUUGACGGUAAUUACUUAGAAAGUCACGGCUAACUACGUGCCAGCAGCCGCGGUAAUACGUAGGUGGCAAGCGUUGUCCGGAUUUAUUGGGCGUAAAGCGAGUGCAGGCGGUUCAAUAAGUCUGAUGUGAAAGCCUUCGGCUCAACCGGAGAAUUGCAUCAGAAACUGUUGAACUUGGGUGCAGAAGAGGAGAGUGGAACUCCAUGUGUAGCGGUGGAAUGCGUAGAUAUAUGGAAGAACACCAGUGGCGAAGGCGGCUCUCUGGUCUGCAACCGACGCUGAGGCUCGAAAGCAUGGGUAGCGAACAGG
rnacentral:rRNA from 1 species